GGAGGGUUGGCCGAGCGGUAAGGCGUUAGUCUUGAAAACUAAUGGGCGUAAGCCCUCAGGGGUUCGAAUCCUCUACCCUCCG
rnacentral:tRNA from 1 species